rnacentral:rRNA from 1 species
GUGCCAGCCGCCGCAGUAAUCCCGGCAGCUCAAGUGAUGUCCCAUAUUAUUGGGCCUAAAGCGUCCAUAGCUGGCCGACCAAGUCUCCCGGGAAAUCCACCCGCCCAACGGGUGGGCGUCCGGUGGAAACUGUGUGGCUUGGGACCGGAAGGCGCGACGGGUACGUCCGGGGUAGGAGUGAAAUCCCGUAAUCCUGGACGGACCGCCGAUGGCGAAAGCACGUCGCGAAGACGGAUCCGACAGUGAGGGACGAAAGCUAGGGUCUCCAACCGGAUUAGAAACCCGAGUAGUCC